rnacentral:rRNA from 1 species
UUGAACGCUGGCGGCAUGCCUUACACAUGCAAGUCGAACGGUAACAGGUCUUCGGAUGCUGACGAGUGGCGAACGGGUGAGUAAUACAUCGGAACGUGCCCGACCGUGGGGGAUAACGCAGCGAAAGCUGUGCUAAUACCGCAUACGAUCUACGGAUGAAAGCGGGGGACUCGCAAGAGCCUCGCGCGGACGGAGCGGCCGAUGGCAGAUUAGGUAGUUGGUGGGAUAAAAGCUUACCAAGCCGACGAUCUGUAGCUGGUCUGAGAGGACGACCAGCCACACUGGGACUGAGACACGGCCCAGACUCCUACGGGAGGCAGCAGUGGGGAAUUUUGGACAAUGGGCGCAAGCCUGAUCCAGCAAUGCCGCGUGCAGGAAGAAGGCCUUCGGGUUGUAAACUGCUUUUGUACGGAGCGAAAAGGCUCUCUCUAAUACAGGGGGCUCAUGACGGUACCGUAAGAAUAAGCACCGGCUAACUACGU